UUUGAGUUGCGCAACUUCAGCUCAGGACACUCGUUUUUGCUUGAAAUGGGAUUUUUCAUAAAUUAAAGUCACCAGAAAAUUGAUCAUGAAGACAACAAGCAUCACUUAAUAAAAGGAGAAGGUUGUCCAGUGAUUACAGAGGCAUCCAUCGAAAUUGAAGGGUUCGUCUGAUGAUCCGAUGAUGAUGAGGCACAAAUUUCCUGUGACUUGCGAUCAAUUUGCACAAAUUUCUAGUGACUUGUGAUCAAUUUGUUUGGUGGUAAGACUAUCCGGCCUCAGCUCGAACAGUGUUUCAUACUUUAACUAGACGAUUUGGUGGUGGCUGGAUCCAGUUUAUCCGAUGAUUCUUCUGGUGGUUCUAGAGAGGGUCAAAUAGGAAAAUCGAGGUUCUCACGUACAGGACUGUGUCCAGUGCUGUGGUAAUUUCGUCCAGUGACAGAUGAUGAGAUGAUCGACUCAUCUGGUGGUUCGGCGGCCAGGAGGAUUUUCAAGGGUCACCAUAUGAUCUGGGGACUAGGAUUGGUCACCGUAUCAUCCACUGUUGUCCGAUUCAAAUUAUGUUUUUCCUAUUUCUUCUCUUCCGUUUUUGGCCGAAUUCAAUAUGUAUUAGCUAGGCAAGCCAUUGAGUUAAUUUGAUGUGUUUUUUAACCAAAUCAAUUUAGGAAGCUCUGGAUUUUGUCAAUACGCACUUGAGGGUGGAUAUAGUAUAUGAUCACUUCUAUAGCUUGUAGCAGUCUUGGGGUACUCAAGCAACAUCAGACAAGUAGCUAGUGACUAGGAACCCAUAUAUAGCCCAUUCACCCCAACUAGCUAGCCAUCGGAAACAUUUUGCAAUUUCUAUGUCACACCAGAUAGUCCAGUGGCCCUUGGGGAUCGGACUAUCCAGUGAAGCACCAUCCAACCGUUGCCAAUCACUAUAAAAAAAACAUUUGUAGAGACGUCUCCAUGUUUAAUAGAGAUGGGUCAAUAUACAAGCUUCUCUAAAGUAGUUUCCAAAAUGAGCACUAGUACAUUGGCACACUAUACAGGCGGUUGGUAACAUAUUUCUACAGGCGUUUUCCGGAUCCGCCUGCGCUGGAGGCCACUACAAAUCCUCCAUUUCCACAGGCGGUCACUUGAGAGCCGCCAGUAUAAACAUUUUACACAGGCGGCUCUCUUAGGAAACCGCCUGUGUAAAUGUUCAUUUACACAGGCGUUUCUAAGAGAGCCGCCUGUGUAAACCUAUUAAAUUAUGUAUUGUUUAUUUAUUUUUUAAUUUAUCUAUUUAUUUAUUUAUUAUUUUAUUGUUAUUAUUUAGAUAUAUCGAUAUUGGUUGGUCUUGUAACAUAGCAACAUGUAAUUUAAAUACUUCAUCUCAUACAUACAUUUGUAUAUAUCAAAGUUUAGUGCUCAAAGACAUAAAGUUAAUUACAAGAGUAUAUCCAUCAUCACACAUCAUAUAUAUACAUCAAAGUUUGUUUCUGUCCUCUAAUAACCCUCUUUAGUAAGUCUGAGCUUACUAAUCUCUGUUAGCACUCGGAACUCUGGCCUGGAUAAUUGGCUUUGAUCAUCAUGAUAUUUGCCUUCACGUGGAAUGACAUGCUUCAUGAUGAACGAGCAGAUGUCCUCAACUAUGUUGUCUAAAGCACGUUCGUCCAUGCGCUCCGCC
rnacentral:lncRNA from 1 species